rnacentral:rRNA from 1 species
UGGGCGUAAGGGCUCGCAGGCGGUUUCUUAAGUCUGAUGUGAAAGCCCCCGGCUCAACCGGGGAGGGUCAUUGGAAACUGGGAAACUUGAGUGCAGAAGAGGAGAGUGGAAUUCCACGUGUAGCGGUGAAAUGCGUAGAGAUGUGGAGGAACACCAGUGGCGAAGGCGACUCUCUGGUCUGUAACUGACGCUGAGGAGCGAAAGCGUGGGGAGCGAACAGGAUUAGAUACCCUGGUAGUCCACGCCGUAAACGAUGAGUGCUAAGUGUUAGGGGGUUUCCGCCCCUUAGUGCUGCAGCUAACGCAUUAAGCACUCCGCCUGGGGAGUACGGUCGCAAGACUGAAACUCAAAGGAAUUGACGGGGGCCCGCACCAGCGGUGGAGCAUGUGGUUUAAUUCAAUUCAACGCGAAGAACCUUACCAGGUCUUGA